rnacentral:rRNA from 1 species
GACGAACGCUGGCGGCGUGCUUAACACAUGCAAGUCGAACGAAGAGCGAUGGAAGCUUGCUUCUAUCAAUCUUAGUGGCGAACGGGUGAGUAACGCGUAAUCAACCUGCCCUUCAGAGGGGGACAACAGUUGGAAACGACUGCUAAUACCGCAUACGAUCUAAUCUCGGCAUCGAGGAUAGAUGAAGGGUGGCCUCUACAUGUAAGCUAUCACUGAAGGAGGGGAUUGCGUCUGAUUAGCUAGUUGGAGGGGUAACGGCCCACCAAGGCGAUGAUCAGUAGCCGGUCUGAGAGGAUGAACGGCCACAUUGGGACUGAGACACGGCCCAGACUCCUACGGGAGGCAGCAGUGGGGAAUCUUCCGCAAUGGACGAAAGGCUGACGGAGCAACGCCGCGUGAGGGAUGACGGCCUUCGGGUUGUAAAGCUCUGUUAAUCGGGACGAAAGGCCUUCUUGCGAGCAGUUAGAAGGAUUGACGGUACCGGAAUAGAAAGCCACGGCUAACUACGUG